UACGGAGGGUGCAAGCGUUGCUCGGAGUUACUGGGCGUAAAGCGUACGCAGGCGGCACGAUGUGUCGGGUGUGAAAGCCCUGGGCUCAACCCAGGAACGGCAUCCGAAACUGUCGAGCUAGAGUUCGGGAGAGGGAAGUGGAAUUCCUGGUGUAGAGGUGAAAUGCGCAGAUAUCAGGAGGAACACCAAUGGCGAAGGCAGCUCGCUGGGACGUGACUGACGCUGAGACGCGAAAGCGUGGGGAGCAAACAGG
rnacentral:rRNA from 1 species